UGUGGAGCACGCCGCGUGAGUGAAGAAGGGUUUCGGCUCGUAAAACUCUGUUGUUAAAGAAGAACAUAUCUGAGAGUAACUGUUCAGGUAUUGACGGUAUUUAACCAGAAAGCCACGGCUAACUACGUGCCAGCAGCCGCGGUAAUACGUAGGUGGCAAGCGUUGUCCGGAUUUAUUGGGCGUAAAGCGAGCGCAGGCGGUUUUUUAAGUCUGAUGUGAAAGCCUUCGGCUCAACCGAAGAAGUGCAUCGGAAACUGGGAAACUUGAGUGCAGAAGAGGACAGUGGAACUCCAUGUGUAGCGGUGAAAUGCGUAGAUAUAUGGAAGAACACCAGUGGCGAAGGCGGCUGUCUGGUCUGUAACUGACGCUGAGGCUCGAAAGUAUGGGUAGCAAACAGGAUUAGAUACCCUGGUAGUCCAUACCGUAAACGAUGAAUGCUAAGUGUUGGAGGGUUUCCGCCCUUCAGUGCUGCAGCUAACGCAUUAAGCAUUCCGCCUGGGGAGUACGGCCGCAAGGCUGAAACUCAAAGGAAUUGACGGGGGCCCGCACAAGCGGUGGAGCAUGUGGUUUAAUUCGAAGCUACGCGAAGAACCUUACCAGGUCUUGACAUACUAUGCAAAUCUAAGAGAUUAGACGUUCCCUUCGGGGACAUGGAUACAGGUGGUGCAUGGUUGUCGUCAGCUCGUGUCGUGAGAUGUUGGGUUAAGUCCCGCAACGAGCGCAACCCUUAUUAUCAGUUGCCAGCAUUAAGUUGGGCACUCUGGUGAGACUGCCGGUGACAAACCGGAGGAAGGUGGGGAUGACGUCAAAUCAUCAUGCCCCUUAUGACCUGGGCUACACACGUGCUACAAUGGAUGGUACAACGAGUUGCGAACUCGCGAGAGUAAGCUAAUCUCUUAAAGCCAUUCUCAGUUCGGAUUGUAGGCUGCAACUCGCCUACAUGAAGUCGGAAUCGCUAGUAAUCCCGGAUC
rnacentral:rRNA from 1 species